rnacentral:rRNA from 1 species
AUUGAACGCUGGCGGCAUGCUUUACACAUGCAAGUCGAACGGUAACAGGCCUUCGGGUGCUGACGAGUGGCGAACGGGUGAGUAAUGCAUCGGAACGUACCCAGAGGUGGGGGAUAACGCAGCGAAAGCUGUGCUAAUACCGCAUGUGAUCUGAGGAUGAAAGCGGGGGACCGAGCAGCAAUGUUUGGCCUCGCGCCUUUGGAGCGGCCGAUGUCGGAUUAGCUAGUUGGUGGGGUAAAGGCCUACCAAGGCGACGAUCCGUAGCUGGUCUGAGAGGACGACCGCCCACCCUGGGACCGUGACGAGGCCCAGACCCCGACGGGAGGCAGGGGGGGGGAUUUUUGAAGAAGGGGGUAGAGGCGAACCCAGCAAGCCGGAGGGGGGAAGGAGGGCUUUGGGGUUGGAAACGCUUUUGGGAGGGAACAAAGCGGUGUCCGCAAAUACGGGGCGUUAAUGACGGAACCGGAAAAAAAAGCGCCGGCUAACUACGUC